rnacentral:rRNA from 1 species
UUUCUGAGGCGUGAUGGGGAAGGUCAUUAAGACCGAAGUACAUGAUUCCAUGCUUCCAAGAAAAGCAUCUAGAGAGAGAAGUAGUGCCCGUACCGCAAACCGACACAGGUAGAUGAGGAGAGAAUCCUAAGGCCGGCGGAAGAAUUGCAGUUAAGGAACUAGGCAAAUUGACCCCGUAAGUUCGCGAGAAGGGGUGCCUGCGAGAGCAGGCCGCAGAGAAUAGGCCCAAGCAACUGUUUAGCAAAAACACAGGUCUCUGCUAAAGCGUAAGCUGAUGUAUAGGGGCUGACGCCUGCCCGGUGCUGGAAGGUUAAGGGGAACACUUAGCGCAAGCGAAGGUGUGAACUUAAGCCCCAGUAAACGGCGGCCGUAACAAUAACGGUCCUAAGGUAGCGAAAUUCCUUGUCAGGUAAGUUCUGACCCGCACGAAUGGCGUAAUGACUUGGGCACUGUCUCAACUGCAAAUCCGGCGAAGUUGUAGUGCGAGUGAAGAUGCUCGCUACCCGCGAUUGGACGGAAAGACCCCGUAGAGCUUUACUGUAGCUUAGCAUUGAAUUCCGGUAUUGUCUGUACAGGAUAGGUGGGAGACUGGGAAACUAGGGCGUCAGCCUUAGUGGAGUCAACCUUGGGAUACCACCCUGACAGUACUGGGGUUCUAACAGGACGCCAUGAAGCUGGUGACUGGACAUUGUUAGGUGGGCAGUUUGACUGGGGCGGUCGCCUCCUAAAAAGUAACGGAGGCGCCCAAAGGUUCCCUCAGAACGGUCGGAAAUCGUUCGUAGAGUGCAAAGGCAGAAGGGAGCCUGACUGCGAGACCCACAAGUCGAGCAGGGACGAAAGUCGGGCUUAGUGAUCCGGUGGUACCUCGUGGGAGGGCCAUCGCUCAACGGAUAAAAGCUACCUCGGGGAUAACAGGCUGAUCUCCCCCAAGAGUCCACAUCGACGGGGAGGUUUGGCACCUCGAUGUCGGCUCGUCGCAUCCUGGGGCUGUAGUAGGUCCCAAGGGUUGGGCUGUUCGCCCAUUAAAGCGGCACGCGAGCUGGGUUCAGAACGUCGUGAGACAGUUCGGUCCCUAUCCGUCGCGGGCGUAGGAAAUUUGAGAGGAGCUGUCCUUAGUACGAGAGGACCGGGAUGGACUGACCUCUGGUGCACCAGUUGUUCUGCCAAGAGCAUGGCUGGGUAGCUAAGUCGGGAAGGGAUAAACGCUGAAAGCAUCUAAGCGUGAAGCCCUCCUCAAGAUGAGAUUUCCCAUAGCAUAAGCUAGUAAGACCCCUUGAAGAACACAAGGUUGAUAGGUCAGAGGUGGAAGUGCGGUAACGUAUGUAGCUGACUGAUACUAAUAGGUCGAGGGCUUGACC